UUUUGCUCCUGAGAAGAGGAGCACGCCGUGGUUUGUUAAUCAUUGCAGCAAACCAGCCAGAACUUGCAAAAGGCAAACAACUUCUCACGUUUCUUCCCAAACAAACCGACAGGUCCACUGGAUCCUUUGGGACAAAAGUGAUCCGAAAGAAGCACUUCAUCUUGUGUGAGCCGGGCCUCUGUGUCACCUGGAGCAUGACCCCAAAAUGAGAAGCGUCAGGAAGGGGAUCCAUUCCCUGAGGAGAGGAGGACUACCAUCAGAAGACAAGUGAAGGCCAAGCAACAGAGGAGAGCCUGAAGGAUGCAGCAGAGAAGGGCAGCAGGAGUUGAAGCAGAGGAAGCAGUCAAUGGACAUCAGAGAUUGAAUUCUAAGGCUCUGCCCUUUGAGUGAGUAUGAUAAUUAUUGUUUGUCCCCUCAAUUUUACUAAGGGAGAAUGAUUUGGGAAAAGCACUCUACCUAAAAUUGGGGAUAUAUGAACACUGUUUGGCUCUCUUUCUUUUCAUUGAAUCUUCUUUUCUGUGACGCACCUAUUAAUUAUAGGAAGCCGUUGCACAAGAUCUUCCUUUUUAUCUGUCUGUGGCAGAAUGAUGCUUAUAUUGUAUAUAGAUAAAGCUAAAUCACAGUCUGUCUUUUUCACCUCUAAAUAUAAAGCUGUACAAGAAGAGUUCUUUUGG